AGUGAACGCUGGCGGUAGGCCUAACACAUGCAAGUCGAACGGCAGCACAGUAGGAGCUUGCUCUUACGGGUGGCGAGUGGCGGACGGGUGAGGAAUACAUCGGAAUCUACUUUUUCGUGGGGGAUAACGUAGGGAAACUUACGCUAAUACCGCAUACGACCUACGGGUGAAAGCAGGGGAUCUUCGGACCUUGCGCGAUUGAAUGAGCCGAUGUCGGAUUAGCUAGUUGGCGGGGUAAAGGCCCACCAAGGCGACGAUCCGUAGCUGGUCUGAGAGGAUGAUCAGCCACACUGGAACUGAGACACGGUCCAGACUCCUACGGGAGGCAGCAGUGGGGAAUAUUGGACAAUGGGCGCAAGCCUGAUCCAGCCAUACCGCGUGGGUGAAGAAGGCCUUCGGGUUGUAAAGCCCUUUUGUUAGGAAAGAAAAGCAGCAGGUUAAUACCCCGCUGUUCUGACGGUACCCAAAGAAUAAGCACCGGCUAACUUCGUG
rnacentral:rRNA from 1 species